UUUGGGGCUGGCCUCCAACGCUCUACCAUUCGACCACGUCGUCCCACACAAACUCACAAUAGGAUGCAUUGAAACAUAAUAUUUAGUUUAAAUAUUCUAACCAAAUGCUAAAGCCACCAAAUUGACAUAUGCUUGUUUUCUACAGAUAAAACACUUGUUUUCUGGCCAAAUUAUGUUGCAACUGAAUUUGACCAAUGUUGGAGUUUCUUCCCAGACUUUAAGUAAAACAACUUAAAUAACCGACGAUUAAAUUAUAAUCAAACUAAUGAAGUUAAUUAACCUUCAACUUCAAAGAAUAACUGAAAACAUACAGGACACCGUGACGCUAAGGACACCGUGUACGAGUGGGCACAUUUUGAUGCCCAGGACCUCCUGAAGAUGACCCGGAGACCGCCCAGUUUUGACGCCACGAACGUUCAGCCCUACCGUCUGGACGGUGUCAUGGUCAGGUGGUCCAAGCCAAAGAAGCGAGACUGGAGGUGGAACUAUAUACCAGGAAAAAACGAAACAAAACUUGUUCUUCCUGAAAUCCAUGACUAUCAACAUUAAAGAUAUAGAUACAAGAUGGGCUUUUUUAGAUUUUAGAUAUUUGAACGCUUUAAUUUUUAAAACAUCAAAAUGUUAUUUUUAAGGGCGAAAUUCAUCCCCGAUGUCUUAGUCAAUGGUCUAGCUAA